AGUGGCGGACGGGUGAGUAAUGGUCUGGGGAUCUGCCCGAUAGAGGGGAUAACCACUGGAAACGGUUGGCUAAUACCGCAUAACGUCGCAAGACCAAAGAGGGGACCUUCGGGCCUCUCACUAUCGGAUGAACCCAGAUGGAUUAGCUAGUAGCGGGGUAAUGGCCCACCUAGGCGACGAUCCCUAGCUGGUCUGAGAGAUGACCAGCCACACUGGAACUGAGACACGGUCCAGACUCC
rnacentral:rRNA from 1 species